AUUAGGGUGGCAGAGCCAGGUAUAUGCAUAAGGCCUAAGAUCUUCACAACAGAAGUUCAAAUCUUCUCCCUAAUC
rnacentral:tRNA from 1 species